UUUUUAAUAAUUUUUUAUUACAGUGAAACCCGCUUAAGUACCCCCCGCUUAAGUGCCUAACCCGAUUAAGUAACCAAAAUUUUUAGACACCAUGAAUUUUUUAAUGUAUUCUGAAGAAAAUCCC